GGGGACAUAGUGAUAAUGGAAGCACGAUGCACUUGCAAUGCGUAGGAUGGGGUUCGAUUCCCCAUGUCUCCACCA
rnacentral:tRNA from 1 species